AUUGAACGCUGGCGGAAUGCUUUACACAUGCAAGUCGAACGGCAGCACGGACUUCGGUCUGGUGGCGAGUGGCGAACGGGUGAGUAACAUAUCGGAACGUAUCCAAUAAUGGGGGAUAACGAGUCGAAAGAUUCGCUAAUACCGCAUACGCCCUACGGGGGAAAGCUGGGGACCUUCGGGCCUGGCGUUAAUGGAGCGGCCGAUAUCUGAUUAGCUAGUUGGUGAGGGAAAGGCUCACCAAGGCGACGAUCAGUAGCUGGUCUGAGAUGACGACCAUCACCACUGGAACUGAGACACGGUCCAGACUCCUACGGGAGGCAGCAGUGGGGAAUUUUGGACAGUGAGCGCAAGCCUGAUCCAGCCAUUCCGCGUGAGUGAAGAAGGCGUUCGGGUUGUAAAGCUCUUUCGCAAGGGAAGAAAACUUAGCCACUAACAUUGGUUGAGGUUGACGGUACCUUGAUAAGAAGCACCGGCUAACUACGUGCCAGCCGCCGCAGUAA
rnacentral:rRNA from 1 species